rnacentral:lncRNA from 1 species
ACUCACCCGCCCACCCUCAGCACAUUAUGCUGGUUGUUCUAGAGCAGUGUUUCUCAACUUGAGGGUCAGGACCCCUGGAGGGGGGGGGGGUCACGAGGUUGUGUCAAAGGGAUCGCCAAAGACUGUCAAUUCCUCUCAAAUCUCUCCAGUAUUUUCUGUUGGUCCUCAGAGAUCUGUAUUUAUUUAUUUAUUUAUUUACAACAUUUAUAUUCCGCCCUUCUCACCCCGAAGGGGACUCAGGGCGGAUCACAUUACACAUAUAGGCAAACAUUCAAUGCCUUUUAACAUAAGACAAAGACAAACAACAUAGCUUCGAGCGGGCCUCGAACUUAUGACCUCCUGGUCAGUGAUUCAUUGUAGUUAAUUGCAACUGGUUUGCUCUCCCGUCUGCGCCACAGCCCCGGGCCUGUAUGCCAAAAUUGAUGGAAUUCAGAAUGCUCUUUGAUUGUAGGUGGCCUAUGAUGCUUGACCAUGGAUUGGGAUUACUGUCUAUAUUUAAGUUAUUUUAACUUUUAUAAGAUGUGUUAUUAUAUUGUGAUUUUAUUGUGUUACUGUUUUUAUUGAUGUAAUACUGUUUUGGGCUUGUCUCAGUGUAAGCCGCCCCAAGUCCUUCGGGAGAUUUAUUAUUAUUAUUAUUAUUAUUAUUAUUAUUAUUAUUAUUAUUAGGUGAACUAUAAAUCCCAGCAACUACAACUCCCAAAUGUCAAGGUCUAUUUUCCCCAAACUCUACCAGUGUUCACAUUUGGGCAUAUUGAGUAUUCAUGCCAAGUUUGAUCCAGAUCCUUCAUUGUUUGAGUUCACAGUGUUCUCUGGAUGUAGGUGAACUACAAUGCCAAAACUCAAGGUUAAUGCUCACCAAAUCCUUCCAGUAUUUUCUGUUGGUGGUGGGAGUUCUGUGUACCAAGUUAGGUUCAAUUAUAUCAUUGGUGAAGUUCAGAACGCUCUUUGAUUGUAGGUGGCCUAUGAUGCUUGACCACGGAUUGGGAUUACUGUCUAUAUUUAAGUUAUUUUAACUUUUGUAAGAUGUGUUAUUAUAUUGUGAUUUUAUUGUGUUACUGUUUUUAUUGAUGUAAUACUGUUUUGGGCUUGUCUCAGUGUAAGCCGCCCAAGUCCUUCGGGAGAUUUAUUAUUAUUAUUAUUAUUAUUAUUAUUAUUAUUAUUAUUAUUAUUAGGUGAACUAUAAAUCCCAGCAACUACAACUCCCAAAUGUCAAGGUCUAUUUUCCCCAAACUCUACCAGUGUUCACAUUUGGGCAUAUUGAGUAUUCAUGCCAAGUUUGAUCCAGAUCCUUCAUUGUUUGAGUUCACAGUGUUCUCUGGAUGUAGGUGAACUACAAUGCCAAAACUCAAGGUUAAUGCUCACCAAAUCCUUCCAGUAUUUUCUGUUGGUGGUGGGAGUUCUGUGUACCAAGUUAGGUUCAAUUAUAUCAUUGGUGAAGUUCAGAACGCUCUUUGAUUGUAGGUUAACUAUAAAUCCCUGCAACUAAAACUUUCAAAUGACAAAAUCAAUCCCCCCCCCCCCACAAACCACCAGUAUUAAAAUUUGGGUAAAUUGGGUAUUUGUGCCAAAUUUGUUCUAGUGAAUGAUAAUGCAGACUGCAUAUCAGAUAUUUACAUUACGAUUCAUAACAGUAGCAAAAUUACAGUUAUGAAGUAGCAACGAAAAUAAUUUUAUGUUUAUGUUUGCUAAAUCUGAUAUGCCACUUUUGAAUGAGACAAAGUUUUUCAUGAAAUUAUAUUAAAUUUGAUACCAAGUAUUUGCAUGGAUAUAUGCUCAGUAUGUAUCAUUAUUUUAAAAUUGAAAUGAAUAGCAAAACUGGGAUGAAAUAAGUGAAACCUAAACAAAACAACAGAAUGAGCACAUGAGAGACUUUAGGCUGAUUUGAAGAUUUCAAUAUGAGGCCAGUUAUGAGGAGUAGGAAUGAAUUUUUUUUUUACUAAUUUUCUUCCCAAAGGAAGCUAGAAGUCAUUUUAAAAUUUUUCUUCCCACUGUAAGAAAGUUUUUGAAAACUGCAUCAUUUUCACAAUUCAGGACGAAUUCUGUACAAAAUUGGCAUGUAUUUGUUUGGGCCAGAUAACAGUAUUUCAGCUUAGAGUAGUUCUGUGCUAAGGCCACAGUAACACCUAAAGAGGUUACACCAGAAUAUUUCUGUGAAGUAAAAUUUGUUUCUUGCACACAAAAUGCAAAAUGACAUGCAGAU